rnacentral:rRNA from 1 species
UACGGAGGGGGCGAGCGUUGUUCGGAAUUACUGGGCGUAAAGCGCACGUAGGCGGCUUUGUAAGUUAGAGGUGAAAGCCCAGGGCUUAACCCUGGAAUUGCCUUUAAGACUGCAUCGCUAGAAUUGUGGAGAGGUAAGUGGAAUUCCGAGUGUAGAGGUGAAAUUCGUAGAUAUUCGGAAGAACACCAGUGGCGAAGGCGACUUACUGGACACAUAUUGACGCUGAGGUGCGAAAGCGUGGGGAGCAAACAGG